rnacentral:rRNA from 1 species
CUACGGGUUGCUGCAGUGGGGAAUAUUGGACAAUGGGGGAAACCCUGAUCCAGCAAUGCCGCGUGUGUGAAGAAGGCCUGCGGGUUGUAAAGCACUUUCGGUUGGGAGGACUGCUUCUAGCACUAAUAUUGUUGGAAGUUGACGUUACCUUCAGAAGAAGCACCGGCUAACUCCGUGCCAGCAGCCUCGGUAAUACGGAGGGUGCAAGCGUAAAUCGGAAUUACUGGGCGUAAAGCGCGCGUAGGCGGCUAGAUCAGUCGGGUGUGAAAGCCCCGGGCUUAACCUGGGAACUGCAUCCGAUACUGUCAAGCUUGAGUACAGGAGAGGAGAGUGGAAUUCCACAUGUAGCGGUGAAAUGCGUAGAUAUGUGGAGGAACACCAAUGGCGAAGGCAGCUCUCUGGCCUGAUACUGACGCUGAGGUGCGAAAGCGUGGGGAGCAAACAGGAUUAGAUACCCUUGUAGUC